AGUGAACGCUGGCGGCGUGCCUAAUACAUGCAAGUCGAACGGAGUGGCGCACGGGUGAGUAAUGUAUAGCUAAUCUUCCCUACACUAGAGGACAACAGUUGGAAACGACUGCUAAUACUCUAUAGUGUAGGAUGAGGCUAUAUUGUAUCAGCUAGUUGGUGAGGUAAUGGCUCACCAAGGCUAUGACGCAUAACUGGUCUGAGAGGAUGAUGAGUCACACAGGAACGGAGACACAGGCCAGACUCCUACGGGAGGCAGCAGUAGGGAAUAUGGCUCAAUGGGGGAAACCCAGAAGGAGCAACGCGGCGUGAAAGAUGACACUUAUCGAAGCGUAAACACCUUAUGUUAGGGAAGCGGUAACUAACGAAUAAGCACCGGCUAACUCCGUGCCAGCAGCCGCGGUAAUUC
rnacentral:rRNA from 1 species